rnacentral:rRNA from 1 species
GUGGGGAAUAUUGGACAAUGGGCGAAAGCCUGAUCCAGCCAUGCCGCGUGUGUGAAGAAGGUCUUCGGAUUGUAAAGCACUUUAAGUUGGGAGGAAGGGCAGUAAGUUAAUACCUUGCUGUUUUGACGUUACCGACAGAAUAAGCACCGGCUAACUUCGUGCCAGCAGCCGCGGUAAUACGAAUGGUGCAAGCGUUAAUCGGAAUUACUGGGCGUAAAGCGCGCGUAGGUGGUUUUGUAAGUUGGAGGUGAAAUCCCCGGGCUCAACCUGGGAACUGCCUCCAAAACUGCAUGACUAGAGUACGGUAGAGGGUAGUGGAAUUUCCUGUGUAGCGGUGAAAUGCGUAGAUAUAGGAAGGAACACCAGUGGCGAAGGCGACUACCUGGACUGAUACUGACACUGAGGUGCGAAAGCGUGGGGAGCAAACAGGAUUAGAAACCCUGGUAGUCC